rnacentral:rRNA from 1 species
UACGUAGGGUGCGAGCGUUAAUCGGAAUUACUGGGCGUAAAGUGUGCGCAGGCGGCCGCGCAAGUCGAGUGUGAAAUCCCCGAGCUUAACUUGGGAAUUGCGCUCGAAACUACGUGGCUGGAGUGUGGCAGAGGAAGGUGGAAUUCCACGUGUAGCGGUGAAAUGCGUAGAUAUGUGGAGGAACACCAGUGGCGAAGGCGGCUUUCUGGUCUGUAACUGACGCUGAGGCGCGAAAGCGUGGGGAGCAAACAGG